rnacentral:rRNA from 1 species
CCUACGGGAGGCAGCAGUGGGGGAUAUUGCACAAUGGGGGGAACCCUGAUGCAGCGAAGCCGCGUGGGUGAAGGAGUGCUUCGGCAGGUAAAGCCCUAUCGGCAGGGAAGAAGCAAGACGGUACCUGACUAAGAAGACCCGGCUAACUACGUGCCAGCAGCCGCGGUAAUACGUAGGGGGCGAGCGUUAUCCGGGUUCACUGGGGGUAACGGGAGCGGAGACAGCACGGCCAGCCAGGGGGGAAAGCCCGUGGCCCAACCCCGGGACUGCCCUUGGAACUGCAUGGCUGGAGUGCGGGAGGGGCAGGCGGAAUUCCUGGUGUAGCGGUGAAAUGCGUAGAUAUCAGGAGGAACACCGGCGGCGAAGGCGGCCUGCUGGACCGCGACUGACGUUGAGGCUCGAAAGCGUGGGGAGCGAACAGGAUUAGAUACCCUGGUAGUC